rnacentral:rRNA from 1 species
CCCUUAGAUGUUCUGGGCCGCACACGCGCUACACUGAAGGAGGCAGCGUGUACUCCUGGAUCGAAAGAUUUGGGUAACCCGCGAAUCUCCUUCGUGCUAGGGAUUGAGGUUUGCAAUUAUCCUUCAUGAACGAGGAAUUCCCAGUAAGUGCAAGUCAUAAGCUUGCGCUGACUACGUCCCUGCCCUUUGUACACACCGCCCGUCGCUACUACCGAUUGAAUGAUUUAGUGAGGACUUCGAACUGGGACCGAUGCGGCUUUCGGGCUGCGUCGGUAUUCUGGAAAGAUGUCCAAACUGUAUCAUUUAGAGGAAGUAAAANUCGUANCA